rnacentral:lncRNA from 1 species
AAGGGCCCUCCAGUAACUACGGAGGACAGCACGGACAGGACGUCACAAACCUAAAGUCCAUCCUCCAUGGCCCAGGGAAAGAAGAAAUCCCAAGAUGAAAAACCCUGGAGAAGCAGCGUAUUUUUGGUGAAGAAGAUGAGGUUGAAAUGAAGACAUUUGGCUAGAAGUUUAGACAGUUGACUCCAUUGUAAUUAACCUUACCAACCCACUCAGCAAACCCAGCUGCCCCCCCGGGUCCAUGACACCAGUAUCAGGCAUCUCCUGCAGUCAGUGACACUUAAAAAGGUAAGUCAAAUCAGGCCUUUCCUCUGCUUAAAACCUGCAGUGACUUUCUCUCCUUCUCCCAGAUAUUCUCCUUCUAAAUGUCACCUUAGCAGAGGCCUUCUGUGACAACCCAUCACACCCUACUUCACUGUCUCCUUUAAUCUGGUUUUAGAUUUCUUUUUUCCUAGCACUUAUUCCCAUUUGAC